rnacentral:lncRNA from 1 species
GUUUACUUUGAUGCUUUCGGAAUUCCCCUACUAGCUGCAGUGGUUUCCUGCCGUUUGCUAGCUGGAGAGUUGCCUGUGCACACUCUCUCAGCCUUUGGGAUGAGCCCUUGCCUCUCCGAGCUUGUCUUAACACAUUAUUUAUUCUGCAGCUCUUCUCCUGGCCUGAGCAGUACCGGGGUUGCUACGACUGCACUAAGGGGCCUAACCCUCUUGCCCCAGCCUUUGAGGGGGAAAAGAUUGUUCCUGACUCCGUUUAUUUCCAGGUAGAAAAGAAUCAGCUCUGCAGCGUGAAGGCGAAGGCGAGGGGCUGCAGCCAAGUUUCCCAGGAAUCAGGAGUUGUCAGCAGGGACAGAUUCUCUCUCUGGAGCUGCGUGGUCUCUGGUCUGCACAUCUGCUCUCUUCUCCUCUAGUCUGGCUUCCUCUGUAAGUAGUUGUAACGUGGCCUGUCCUUGACUAUCCUUACCAUUACAAGGAUUCUGACCUCAGCCUCACAGCACCAGCACCAAUCUCCGUAGGGCUGUAGCUUUUUUUGUCUCUUACUCCACACUUGUUGUUCCUCUCAAGAUUCUGAUCGGCUCAGCCCUGUCAGGUGUCCACGCUCAGUCAAAGCGGCUGUGCUAAGGGGCCAACAUGCAGGGCUUCUCCAAAGCCCUUUUAAGCAAGGUUGGGGGACCCCACUCAAUGGGAAGGCUCGGUGAGGUGGGUUAAAGAAAAUACAGCCUUGACAAACUUGUUCAAACAUUAUCAGAAACUUGAAGAAAAAAAUCAAAGUUUCAGGAUAUAUUUUGGCUGCUUUCCAAAAUGCACAUUAUUUUGGAUUAUUCAUGGAACGAGGUGGGUGGGCACCAUAAUCUUUUUCUUGCUUAAGGUCCUGGAAGGAGCAAGGGCUUGGCAUGAGCCCCAAAUAUGCCCCAGAGAGAAAGCAACAGGGUGUGUGUAGAGACCAAAGACCUGUAGAUUGAGACAUAUUAGGAGGUGGGGGAG